rnacentral:ncRNA from 2 species
UGAAAUAUUGAUGAGUUUAGUGCAAGUAUUGCUUAAAAGGGAAUCUGGUAUAAUCCAGAACUGUCCCCGCAACUGUAAUGUGGACGAAACGAAUAGCCACUGUUCGAAAGAAUGGGAAGGUCGGAGUAGGUUGAAACAAAGUCAGUAGACCUGCUAAAUUCAUCCUUGUUCA